GGUUGAUCUCCUGAAGCAAAAUGUUAACUUCAGUAAUUGCAGCAAAAACAUCCUGGAAUGGCUGACUGAAGUAAUUACAGACCACAAGCUGAAAGGACAGGAAGAAGACUGUCUAAAGGAAACUGGACCAGAGAAGAUGGUGCAUUGAAGACCUCUAGGGCCUAGAAAUG
rnacentral:lncRNA from 1 species